rnacentral:rRNA from 1 species
AGGAUAAACGCUGGCGGCGUGCCUAACACAUGCAAGUCGAAUGUCCUUGCGGUCUUCUUCUUCGGAGGAGGACCGCGAGGGAGUGGCGGACGGGUGAGUAACACAUGGGUACCUGCCUUUCAGUGAGGAAUACCGGCGAGAAAUCGCCGACAAGACCGCAUAGGCUUCCUUCGGUAGCCCGAGGGAAGCAAAGUUCCGCCGCAAGGAGGGACGCUGGAAGAGGGGCUUGUGGCCGAUUAGCUAGUUGGGGGGGUAACGGCCUCCCAAGGCGACGAUCGGUAGCUGGUCUGAGAGGACGAUCAGCCACACUGGGAUUGAGAACGGCCCAGACUCCUACGGGGGGCAGCAGUGAGGAAUUUUCCGCAAUGGACGAAAGUCUGACGGAGCAACGCCGCGUGCAGGAGGAAGGUUUUCGGAUCGUAAACUGCUUUUCGUCGGGGACGAGCAAGGACGGUACCCGAGGAAGAACGCCCCGGCUAACUACGUGCCAGCAGCCGCGGUAA